rnacentral:rRNA from 1 species
AUUGAACGCUGGCGGCAUGCUUUACACAUGCAAGUCGAACGGCAGCGCGGGCUUCGGCCUGGCGGCGAGUGGCGAACGGGUGAGUAAUACAUCGGAACGUGCCCAGUAGUGGGGGAUAGCUCGGCGAAAGCCGGAUUAAUACCGCAUACGACCUGAGGGUGAAAGCGGGGGAUCUUCGGACCUCGCGCUAUUGGAGCGGCCGAUGGCAGAUUAGCUAGUUGGUGGGGUAAAGGCCUACCAAGGCGACGAUCUGUAGCUGGUCUGAGAGGACGACCAGCCACACUGGGACUGAGACACGGCCCAGACUCCUACGGGAGGCAGCAGUGGGGAAUGUUGGACAAUGGGCGAAAGCCUGAUCCAGCAAUGCCGCGUGUGUGAUGAAGGCCUUCGGGUUGUAAAGCACUUUUGGCGGGAACGAAAAGGACUGUGCAAAUACCACGGUUCGAUGACGGUACCCGCAGAAUAAGCACCGGCUAACUACGUG